GCAAUAAAUGACCGGGCCUCAAUUCUUGCAUCUCGCUUCAGCACAACCUAAACGAUGCAAGAUGCGCAAGACCACGUUAAUACAAGCCAUGCACUCUUGUUCCAUACAUGAACUAGAUUUGUAAUCGCUUCUAACCACAAAUUCGCAGCAUCUAUGGCUGUCAAGUCAACACUAUUAGCAGCAAGGUUGUGAGCAUAAGGUCCAUCAACG
rnacentral:lncRNA from 1 species